UACGGAGGGUGCGAGCGUUGUCCGGAAUCACUGGGCGUAAAGGGCGCGUAGGCGGCCUGAUAAGUAGGGGGUGAAAUCCUGCGGCUUAACCGCAGGGCUGCCUUCUAGACUGUCAGGCUUGAGCACAGUAGAGGCAGGUGGAAUUCCCGGUGUAGCGGUGGAAUGCGUAGAGAUCGGGAAGAACAUCAGUGGCGAAGGCGGCCUGCUGGGCUGUUGCUGACGCUGAGGCGCGACAGCGUGGGGAGCAAACAGG
rnacentral:rRNA from 1 species